rnacentral:rRNA from 1 species
GAUGAACGCUGGCGGCGUGCCUAAUACAUGCAAGUCGAGCGAACGGACGAGAAGCUUGCUUUUCUGAUGUUAGCGGCGGACGGGUGAGUAACACGUGGAUAACCUACCUAUAAGACUGGGAUAACUUCGGGAAACCGGAGCUAAUACCGGAUAAUAUUUUGAACCGCAUGGUUCAAAAGUGAAAGACGGUCUUGCUGUCACUUAUAGAUGGAUCCGCGCUGCAUUAGCUAGUUGGUAAGGUAACGGCUUACCAAGGCAACGAUGCAUAGCCGACCUGAGAGGGUGAUCGGCCACACUGGAACUGAGACACGGUCCAGACUCCUACGGGAGGCAGCAGUAGGGAAUCUUCCGCAAUGGGCGAAAGCCUGACGGAGCAACGCCGCGUGAGUGGUGAAGGUCUUCGGAUCGUAAAACUCUGUUAUUAGGGAAGAACAUAUGUGUAAGUAACUGUGCACAUCUUGACGGUACCUAAUCAGAAAGCCACGGCUAACUACGU